UUGUUUGUUUUUUUGUUUGUUUUUCGAGACAGGGUUUCUCUUUAUAACCCUGGCUAUCCUGAAACUCACUUUGUAGACCAGGCUGGCCUCGAACUCAGAAAUCCACCUGCCUCUGCCUCUGCCUCCUGAGUGCUGGGAUUAAAGGCGUGCGCCACCAUGCCCAGCUUAAGUCCCUUUUUACUGGGUUCAGUGUCAUUUGUCUUUGAUUUGCCUCACAGGCCUGGCACAGUAAGUACUCUAUACCAAGAAGAGAUUUAAUGACUGUAUUUUGGCCACCAUGGCCCUCUUUAUUUCUCUGCUAUAAAACUGGGAGCAGCAUACAGCCCAGUCACAUACUGGGCAGAGAACAACUUAUUUCUAACUUUGCCCAGCAUUUAUGUGACAGGGACUCUUUUAAGCAUUGAGUGGAUCUGCAUAAAAAGCCUAUAAUAGUUAUUAAAUUCACUUUGUAGGUGGGCAAGCUAAGGCAGAAUAAACUUGAAGUGGUUAACAAAGAUUUUGGAAUGUAGUAGUAAAAAGGUCAAUCCAGGAUCCCUGCUCUUACCCAACAUGUACGAGAGCGUCUGAGCCCAAGAAAGUGAAAUGAAAACCCAUCAGCAACAGUAAGAACCACUUUUACGACACGGUAGGUAACAACAUAAAACAAUAUGGUGUGUGUGUGUGUGCAUGGAACCACUGGUUACCUCUGAAGAGACAUACAUACUAUGUAUUUAUAAAACACAUAAAAUAAAUUAUUUCAUCCCAUCCAUCAAACUUCAUUGACAGAAUUAAAAAAUAAACUCAGGUAAAGUGGAAAAGAAAUAUAUUUAGAAUAAAAAUGAAAUAUACAAAUAAUUUGGAGACAUGGGCAGACUAUACACAUAAAAUUAUACUAAAGGAUAUUUUAAAAGUCACUAAUAAAUGCAUUAAAAGAACACUUUCCUACCGGAAAGUCUCAGUUAAUAGAGAGGUGGUCCUUUUUCCAAAACAAGUUUUGAGAAUUAACACAAUCUCAAAUCAGUUUACUCCAAGAGGAAGCAAUAUGGCUUCAACAAACAAGCAUUUGCACAGGAAUUGGUAAAUCUUACAAGGUAAUUCCAAGGCACACCUUUUGAUGUGGGAUAGCAAGUAAUACACCUGGCAGCAAUGAUGAUUUAUGCUUCUUAGAACCAGUAAGAAUGUCUUCCUUAAAUUUUGUUCGUAAUAGGAAGGGCUGAGUGAUAAAUGGGACGAGAAGGGCAGCUAUGUUGAUUCAAAUUAUAGAAAAUGUACAUAGUAUGACCAUUUUUUAUUACAUAUAGGGAAUAUAAUUUAAUGAAAGUGAGCUGAGAGGCAUGAGAGAAGGUUUCCUGCUGGCUUUCUACAUGUCUGCAAAGAACAUGUAUGACCUCAGUGACCUGUACUCAAAAUUUCACUCCACAAUGAGUCUUGUGCCAGACACAUGGACGGUGAGCAGGGCAGCAAGGAAACCGGCGUGCACUUGCGCGCACACCCACACCUGCAGUUUCUGGUGAUAAUCCGCAUGGUGAGAUCAUCACUGAAGCCGCAUUGUGGUCCCGCAGGGAGAGCAAGGGUCGAGCAGGAGAUGCCAGGUCACUGUGACCUGCGGGGGUUCAGGUCCCGCGACAACCUCCUGAACGCAGUGCGGCACGGGCGACGCCUGGCACAAGAACCUGAGCGAAAGCUGCGACACACCCAUCCAUCCACUCUGGGGAAAAUAAUAGUGACUGAAAACCCCUAGCUUGGCAUCUAGGGCCCUCGCUGACCUUGGGGAGUCCCCUCUGCCCACCGGCCUCAGUUUGCCCACCUUCAGGCAGAGACUGCGAGUCCAGCGCAGUGGCGUUCCAGGCGCGGGCGUUCCCGGGAGCGGGAGGGGCGCCUUCCUCCGGUCACCUUCGCUGGAGGACGCGCCCCGCCGAGGACGGGCGGAGGGGCCCCCGCUCCCGGGCAGCCAUUAGGGGGUAGCGCUCAGGCCGGCCGCUGUGUGGGGCUCCCGGGCUGCAUCCUCGGGCCUGGUGACAACCCGGCCCGGCCGGCGACAGCCAAAGAGCGAGGCGACCCGCCUGGUGCCACAGACGCACCGAGGGCGGGGCCGCGGCCGAGCCAGCCUGCGGGGCUCAGGGCGGGGGACGCAGGCCUCGGGAGCACCACUCCCCUCAUCGGCCGUCGCUCCCACAUCGCGUCCCCUCGAGGGCGCGCUUCUCCGCGACACCAGCCCGGCAGGAAACCUACCCCGUGGAGGCGUCAGCUACGUCCUGGCUUGCCAAGGCCACCGCCGCUGUAGCCCAGGCCACCGCUGCUGUAGCCCAGGCUGGCUGGUCUCGAUGGUGGCGCCUUGGCAGAACCCUGCCGGGCGGAGAGUAGCGGAAGGCUCGCCUCCUCCAGCAUUCGCUCCGGUGCAGGGCUCCCCUCGCUCUGCCAGGCCACGUGACCUGAGAGCUGCGGAGCAACUGCAGCCCCCAAAGCUGGCUUGGGGGUGGGGGUUGCGGGGCGGGGUGGGGGAGAGGCAAAAGGCGCCAACUGAUGGGCAGCGAGGGAAAAGCAGGGUCGCUCCCAAGUCAGGAGAACAGGAUGAUGUCCCUUUUAUAAUGUGAAUGCAAGCCUAGGUUUUAUUCCAUCAGGUGGGCACAAGAAGAAAGAUGUAUUUUAAUAAAGCAUCUCGCCCUUUGCGGAAGCGUUUGUGUAGAAACCUAUUUCUCUGUUUCUGAAUGGGCUUUAAUCUUCUAAACGCCUUCUGUUUAAAUGCAAAAGCCCCUGGGAGACAUAACUGGAGAGGGAGAAAAAUAUACGCACUGGGGUAGAGUAAUCCUGACGUGCAACACAGGGAAAGCAUAGGAAAUGACUCAAGGAAGGGGGAAAAAAACUGCAUGUCUGACUAUGAGAAGGUAAAAAACAGCCAGCUUAGUACCCUGGCCUCACCAGGGCUCUCACCACCAUACAUCUUUGUGGCCAUUUUUAUUGCUUCUAUUCCAUGUCAGUUUGCCAGUGUAGGCUAGGACUUAAAUGAGUAUUUUGGAUGUACAUAUAAUAGGAAUUUUUUUUUUGGUGAUCAUAAUGUUGUAUUGUCUGAUCAUUAUCACUUAAAUACUCAGGAUGGAAACAAGUUGCAAGAUUAGGAGGCACCGAUAGAAAAUAUCCAGUAAAACCCUUUCUGUAACAGGGUACAUACGAGUUUACAGGGUUAAAAAGAGGAAAUUCCAUAAGUAAAUUAUUUGAUGCAAAAAAUGAGAUCAUCAUCUUGUUUCCAGAUGUUCUAGCUGCUUUCUACUACAGAGGCGAACAAUCCUGAGCUCAGCCUAUUGAGCCAAGUUCCUGCUGUUGAAGCCUCUCAGAACUCAUGUCACUGGGGUUCUUUGUGUCCACUUGAAGGAGCCUUGAGGUGAUCGCAGAAAAAGACAACCAACUACAAGAAAGGCCAUGAUAUCUGCCUGAUUUAGCUUUGUCAGCUGUGGAAAACUGUCUGUGAAGAUUAAUGAAGCUGUGCAUCAUCCACUUUCUUCUCACUUUAAAUGUUCACACGUCUUAUCAUAUGUUCUAUUGCUCUGUAAUCAGGCGUAUGUACACGGAUGACGGCUCUCCCCUCUACCAAUACAAAGUGCCUCUACCUUUGGCAGUAUGUUUAUAACGCAUCUGAUAAUAAACCAGCUAUUCCGGC